AUAUUCCUGUACCGCUCUAUGAUGCGAUGGGGGGACGGAGAAGGUUAGCUCGGCCAUCUGUUGGAAUAGGUGGUUUAAGCGUGUAGUCGUGCCGCGUAGGCAAAUCCGCGUGGCUUAGAUGAGGCGUGAUGACGAGGAUCCUCGGAUCCGAAGUGAGUGAUACCCAGCUUCCAGGAAAAGCCUCUAAGCUUCAGUCAUAGAGUGACCGUACCGCAAACCGACACGGGUGGGCUGGUAGAGAAUACCAAGGCGCUUGAGAGAACUCAGGAGAAGGAACUCGGCAAAUUGAUACCGUAACUUCGGGAGAAGGUAUGCCCCUGGUACGUGAAGGCCCUCGCGGCCGGAGCGGAACGGGGUCGCAGAGAAUCGGUGGCUGCGACUGUUUAUUAAAAACACAGCACUCUGCAAACACGAAAGUGGACGUAUAGGGUGUGACGCCUGCCCGGUGCCGGAAGGUUAAGUGAUGGGGUGCAAGCUCUUGAUCGAAGCCCCGGUAAACGGCGGCCGUAACAAUAACGGUCCUAAGGUAGCGAAAUUCCUUGUCGGGUAAGUUCCGACCUGCACGAAUGGCGUAACGAUGGCCACACUGUCUCCUCCUGAGACUCAGCGAAGUUGAAAUGUUUGUGAAGAUGCAAUCUCCCCGCGGCUAGACGGAAAGACCCCAUGAACCUUUACUGUAGCUUUGCAUUGGACUUUGACGGGACUUGUGUAGGAUAGGUGGGAGGCUGUGAAACCGGGACGCCAGUUCCGGUGGAGCCAUCCUUGAAAUACCACCCUGGUGUCGUCGAGGUUCUAACCCAGGCCUGUGAAUCCAGGUCGGGGACCGUGCAUGGUGGGCAGUUUGACUGGGGCGGUCUCCUCCCAAAAGGUAACGGAGGAGUACGAAGGUCACCUAGGUACGGUCGGACAUCGUACUGAUAGUGCAAUGGCAAAAGGUGGCUUGACUGCGAGACCCACAAGUCGAGCAGGUGCGAAAGCAGGUCAUAGUGAUCCGGUGGUUCUGUAUGGAAGGGCCAUCGCUCAACGGAUAAAAGGUACUCUGGGGAUAACAGGCUGAUUCCGCCCAAGAGUUCACAUCGACGGCGGAGUUUGGCACCUCGAUGUCGGCUCAUCACAUCCUGGGGCUGUAGCCGGUCCCAAGGGUAUGGCUGUUCGCCAUUUAAAGUGGUACGUGAGCUGGGUUUAAAACGUCGUGAGACAGUUUGGUCCCUAUCUGCCGUGGGCGCUGGAAGUUUGAGAGGGCCUGCUCCUAGUACGAGAGGACCGGAGUGGACGCACCCCUGGUGUACCGGUUGUGACGCCAGUCGCAUCGCCGGGUAGCUAUGUGCGGAAGAGAUAACCGCUGAAAGCAUCUAAGCGGGAAACUCGCCUCAAGAUGAGACUUCCCCGGGGCCUCGAGCCCCCUGAAGGGUCGUUGAAGACCACAACGUUGAUAGGCCGGGUGUGUAAGCGUGGCAACACGUUCAGCUAACCGGUACCAAUUGCCCGUGUGGCUUGAUC
rnacentral:rRNA from 1 species